UGGUUGUCUGAACCGCAUGGUUCAGACAUAAAAGGUGGCUUCGGCUACCACUUACAGAUGGACCCGCGGCGCAUUAGCUAGUUGGUGAGGUAACGGCUCACCAAGGCGACGAUGCGUAGCCGACCUGAGAGGGUGAUCGGCCACACUGGGACUGAGACACGGCCCAGACUCCUACGGGAGGCAGCAGUAGGGAAUCUUCCGCAAUGGACGAAAGUCUGACGGAGCAACGCCGCGUGAGUGAUGAAGGUUUUCGGAUCGUAAAGCUCUGUUGUUAGGGAAGAACAAGUGCCGUUCAAAUAGGGCGGCACCUUGACGGUACCUAACCAGAAAGCCACGGCUAACUACGUGCCAGCAGCCGCGGUAAUACGUAGGUGGCAAGCGUUGUCCGGAAUUAUUGGGCGUAAAGGGCUCGUAGGCGGUUUCUUCAGUCUGAUGUGAAAGCCCCCGGCUC
rnacentral:rRNA from 1 species